rnacentral:tRNA from 1 species
GCCUGAGUUGCUGAUAGCUCAGUCAGUAGAGCAUGAGACUCUUAAUCUCAGCAUCAUGGGUUUGAGCCCCAUGUUGGGCA